UGGCUCAGUUGGUAGAGCACGGCGCUUGCAAUGCCAGGGUUGUGGGUUCAACUCCCAU
rnacentral:tRNA from 1 species